CUCUGUCAGCUUCAGUCUCCCAUGCAGAGCCCGGAGCGCAUGUGUGGCUCUGCACCCUUAGCAGCGUUGCUAACUCCUCAGUAAGGAAAGCCUGCUUCAUGUCAGAGUCUCUAAACUCCAGAAGAAGUCGAUAAAAGUCCCUUUCUUUCUAAAAAAAAGUCGUUAGGGGGUCUGAAAAGUCAUUGAAUCUAACAACAAAGUCGCUAGGUUUGCAACUACGUGUCCCAGACUGCAUCCCUGCUGAGAGUCCCUCCCUCCCUUCUCAUAUUGCAGGAAGAACAUAAGUUCCCGCCCCUUGUCAAUCAGUCACCAUAUAAUUUUGGAUUGGUUGUUGUGGUGAAGUUUUCCACCAAUAGGAGAGAUGUUGUGGUGUGUUUUUUUUUUUCCUUUGGCAAGCCUUUUCCGCCUGUAAGACCUGUCGCUAAUGUCUGCAUGCUAUGUUUUCCUGUCUCAUACAGCGCGAUCGAGCGCCGAACGUGAUCAAAAUAAGCAGAAAAAAAGUAGCGCGGACAUAAUUUAUCAUAACUCUGGUUUUAUUAGGCCUAUCAACACAAUUUAAAAACUGGUAUAUAGGUUGAGGUCCUCACUUUUGAGAUAAAUUGAAACGGAGAGUCAACGAGGCUCCGUCUUGCAGCUACAUCCGGUUAAAUAUGUCAUGUGACUUGAACGCACACACACACACACACACAGACACACACACACACACACGCACACACACACACUCAGAGUCUGGUUUGUAGCACCUGCAAAAACAUGCUAUUUACAUAUUUGACAAGAAUGCAGAGGCUCCUUUUGCCCCUGAAAAAAAUCAAAUUUCAAACACAACUUGACUGGUCAUUUCUCCAAAAGACAACCAUGAAGCUCCAUCCAAACCUGAAGCAGGCAGUUGGUGCAUGUGUACAGUAACCUGAGGGGAGUGAGGUGACUGCUUCUGAGGAGAACAUGAGCAGUGAAGAUUUACCUUAGAGCUAGAACAGAGACGUGCACAUGAUUAUACAGGGGCAGGGGCUCAAGUUUUUUCCAGUCGUUUAUACAAUUUGGAAAUUAAUGUGAAAUUAAAAAACAAAGUAUUAAUAGAAAGGUAAUGACUGUCCUGUGUAGGUGACAGUGAUAUCCAAUAGGCUAGGCACUCACGAGGCUGGCUGUGGCAAGUGUAAGUGAAAGCAACACGCACUGGCAGGAAGAACAGCAAACGCCGAUGAAGGAAAAGGGUCUUUGCAGUGAUGGGCGUUACCAAAGAGGGCGAUGGCCAGAGGACACAAAUGGGACGGGGAGGCAGCGCGUUGGGGGGGGGGGACGCGACACAGCUCGGGCCCGCCAGUGCCCCAACGGGGUCCUAGUCUUUAGGGCCCGAGCCAGCUGCAGAGCAGCCGGGCGUAGGCCCUAUUAUUCCCCAAGUGGUUUUUCUUUGUUUCUUUCUUUCUUUCUUUAGGGCCCGAGCGUAGCUGCUAAGCAGCUGCGAGAGCCCUCUUGUUCCUGUAGUUUCCUUCUUUUGUUAUUAUUAUUAUUUUUCCUCCCCUUUGAACUGGAAAAUGGCCCACUUCCCACUGGCGAAAACUCAUGAAAUUUGGCAGGACGACCGGGCCUGGUGAAAAAUUUGAUAUUCCGAAGUCGCCCAAACAAGAAAAUGCAAAAUGGCUCCAUAGCGCCCCCUAAGGUGAAAAUUCACACUAUUGACUGUCACGCCUGUACGCUUUGUCAAAAUGACACAAAAAUUGACACACACAUGUAUCUCAAUAAGAUCUACAAAAAAGUCAGUGCGGGCGAAUCUGUCAAAUGUACGGUUAAAGGGUUAUUUCGCAUUUUUUGCCGAUCCGCACACAUUGGAAUUUCGCUAACUCCUCCGAAGGCUUUCGUUCCACCGGCACCACAUUUGCUCAGGCCAAUCUACACCCCAUGGCCAUUAAAAGUUAUUCAAAUCAUGACGCUGCACCCCACGGUUUAGGUUCUAGGGGGCGCCAAAGAUAACCCUAAGAUCCACAUAUUUAAAAGUCUUAUAACUUUUUAUUUUUGCCCUCACUGGCCUCCAAGUUUUCUAGGAUGAUGCAAUGUCCAGCCAUCAACACAUUUGUGAAGGAAUUUUUACUCCCCAAAAGAGCGCCCCCCAUGGCAGGAGAAAAAAGUCCAUUUUUUCUUGUCCCCUAAGGUGAAAAUACACAUUGUUGAGUGUAACACCUGUACGCUUUGGCAAAAUGACACAAAAAUUGACACACACAUGUAUCUCAAUAAGAUCUACGAAAAAGUCAAUGCGCGCGUAUCUGUCAAAUGUACGGUUAAAGGGUUAUUCCGCAUUUUUUGCCGAUCCGCACACAUUGGAAUUUCGCUAACUCCUCCGAAGGCUUUCAUUCCACCGGUACCACAUUUGCUCAGGCCAAUCUACACCCCAUGGCCAUUAAAAGUUAUUCAAAUCAUGACGCUGCAUCCCACGGUUUAGGUUCUAGGGGGCGCCAAAGAUAACCCUAAAAUCCACAUAUUUAAAAGUCUUAUAACUUUUUAUUUUUGUCCUCACUGGCCUCCAAGUUUUCUAGGAUGAUGCAAUGUCCAGCCAUCAACACAUUUGUGAAGGAAUUUUUACUCCCCAAAAGAGCGCCCCCCCAUGGCAGGAAAAAAAAGCCAAUUUUUUCUUGUCCCCUAAGGUGGAAAUUCACACUAUUGACUGUCACGCCUGUACGCUUUAUCAUAUUGACACAAAAAUUGACACACAUAUGUAUCUCAAUAAGAUCUACAAAAGAGUCGAUUCGCGCGUAUCUGUCAAAUGUACGGUUAAAGGGCUAUUUUGCAUUUUUUGCCGAUUCGCACACAUUGGAAUGUGGCUAACUCCUCCUAAGGCUUUCGUCCCACUGACACCAAAUUUGCUCAGGCCAAUCUACACCCCAUGGCCAUUCAAAGUUGUAAAAAUCAUGACGCUGCACCCCACGGUUUACGUUCUAGGGGGCGCCAAAGAUGACCCAAAAAUCCACAUUCUUCAAAGAAUCCACAUCCCCCCCCCCCCCCCCCAUAUGGCAGGAGAAAAAGUUAAGUUUUUCCUGCCCAUCGCUCAAUGGCUCAAUCGCAUCGCUCUCCAGGCAACACCGUAAGGAGGAGCAACCUGCCAUUUCGAUAUAUCAUAGCUGUGUUUGUGCCCUCACUCAUGGUCCAGACUUUUUUCAAAUAGGACAUGAAGUUUGUCUGCAGCGAGUGUUUUGGUAGAAACUGCGCCUCCCAUUCAUUAUAAUAGGAAAUGACCACAGACAAGUGCGCACACCAUCUUUGGAUCUUGAGUGUGACGCGAUCGGGAGGGGGAGGCGGUCGCACUGGGGGCGGCGCGACACGGCUCGGGCCCGACAGUGCCCCAACGGGGUCCUAGUUAUUAUUUUUCCUCCGCUUUAAACUGGAAAAUGGCCCACUUCCCACUGGCGAAAACUCAGGAAAUUUGGCAGGACGACCGGGCCUGGUGAAAAAUUCGAUAUUCUGAUGUCGCCCAAACAAUAAAAUGCAAAAUGGCUCCAUAGCGCCCCCUAAGGUGAAAAUUCACACUAUUGACUGUCACGCCUGUACGCUUUGUCAUAUUGAUACAAAAAUUGACACACACAUGUAUCUCAAUAAGAUCUACAGAAAAGUCAGUGCGGGCGUAUCUGUCAAAUGUACGGUUAAAGGGUUAUUUCGCAUUUUUUGCCGAUCCGCACACAUUGAAAUUUCGCUAACUCCUCCGAAGGCUUUCGUUCCACCGGCACCACAUUUGCUCAGGCCAAUCUACACCCCAUGGCCAUCGAAAGUUGUACAAAUCAUGACGCUGCACCCCACGGUUUACGUUCUAGGGGGCGCCAAAGAUAACCAAAAAAUCCACAUUCUUAAAAGUCUUAUAACUUUUUAGUUUUUUCCUCACUGGCCUCCAAGUUCUCUAGGAUGAUGCAAUGUCCAGCCAUCAACA
rnacentral:lncRNA from 1 species